CUACGGAGGAUGCAAGCGUUAUCCGGAUUUAUUGGGUUUAAAGGGUGCGUAGGCGGUUUGCUAAGCGGGAGGUGAAAUGCCGGCGCUCAACGUCGGAAGUGCCUCCCGAACUGGUGGACUUGAAUGACUCUGCCGUGGGAGGAAUGAGUAGUGUAGCGGUGAAAUGCUUAGAGAUUACACAGAACACCGAUUGCGAAGGCAUCUCACGAAGGGUUGAUUGACGCUGAGGCACGAAAGCGUGGGGAUCAAACAGGAUUAGAUACCCUGGUAGUCCACGCAGUAAACGAUGAUGGCUAACCGCUGGGCUUAUCAGUUCAGUGGCCAAGCGAAAGCGAUAAGCCAUCCACCUGGGGAGUACGACCGCAAGGUUGAAACUUAAAGGAAUUGACGGGG
rnacentral:rRNA from 1 species